UGCUGUCCAGUCACGUAGUCAAAUAUCAGCUGGUAAUUCUGGGAUACUUAUUAUGCAGCCCAGGAUUCUUGCUGGUAUCCGGUUACGAACUGGCUCGUCGCC